rnacentral:sRNA from 1 species
UACUGAAAGGAUGGUAAAACAUAACGCU